rnacentral:tRNA from 1 species
UAAGAGAUAGUGUAGAGGAUGCACUUGAAGUUUUGAUUUUCAAAGUAUAGGUUCAAGUCCUAUUUUUUUAG